UAGCGAACCGAAAUCAUAUUCGCCAACUUGUGGCCAUCUGUGUCUCAUACGUAUAAAUAUAGGCAAUAGGCCCCAUACCUCCCGAUUAUAGCUCAGGAGUAGAAUGCAUAGCAUGUCAUGUCAUGGAUUUAUAACACCUAUGAGUUACUGUUGUCAUGUUGCCAAUCUUGGCCCGUUUGUGGUCUUGUUCUCAUAACCUGAUAAUAACUUUCGUAUAACAUAUAACAAUCUCA
rnacentral:lncRNA from 1 species